GGGCGGGGGCCUGGCGGGCAGCAGCCACUGGUGUAAAACUGAGCUGAAAGUUGGGUUUUGGCGCCCAAGCGAGCCCCGUUCCUGGGUACGCCGAGCUGGCCCGGCCCGCCCCGCCGCGGGGGAAGGGGCUGCGGUGGUGCCCGCGCCCGUCUCCAGUGUGGGGUGCCCCGCGGAAGGACGUGCCUGGUUUGUCGCGAUCCCUGGGCAGAGAGAGCUCCUGCUCCUCUCCCUGGCUGGAGGGGUUUGGAAGUGCCCAGGGCUGCCUGUGAGAGGGGGGUCCCGCAGCCAGCCUGGGACACAGGCAUCGGCCCUGAGGAGGAAAGGUGUCGGAUCUCCGAGCUUGGCGCUCUCUGUAAAGUGCCAGCUGCAGCAGUGGAAAGAAAGCUGCGACCCAGUCUCGGUCGAACUGAGGUUUUAAUGCAAACCAUACCUGCGGUUUGCAUUAAUGUUUUCGAGUGUUCCGCUAGCAGCAAAUCUGUCCCUUUGGGUUUGGGGAGAAAACUGAAAUUUCUAUAAUCACUUACACUGCGAUGUGACCCCAGACUACGUGAUACUGGUUUUGCUGACGUUGGUUUUCUUCUGUCUAAUUAUUUUCAUCCAAUUCUCUAGUUCUCAACACUCAUGUUUUUUCAGGUGUAGUCCAUAGCCCUGGUGAAAAGCUUUGUUUACUGAAGAUGUGAUGCCUUCAGUAGAGCUUUAAUCAUAUUAACCUUCCUCAAUGGGCACAUAAGAUAAACCAAAGAGUUGGACUCCUUAACAUCUGUCUGUCCUCCAACAAGGAAGGCAGUAUUGAGAAUUUUCCAUGCUUGAACGUGAUACUGGAAGCUUCCCACAGCAGUGCCAAUGCUGAAAGCCCCACACAAGAAUGCUGAUGUUAGGAACUUGUUGUUCCCAAAGCUGUGCCUUCCUCCCAGCACCCUCGUGCCUGGAAAAGUGCUUCUCUGCUUCCACAAUAAACUGUCACUGUUUUUCAUUGAGUCACACGGUUCCUUUUCAGACAAAAACACAACUUCUGUCUCCAGAGAUUCAGUCACUGUUACUCUUCUGAAGCAGUGAUCUAUGCAGUAUUGACUUUGGUCGGUAUGCGUGGUUAAUUUAUUAACCACAUGUGCAUGACAGUUGUGGGGAAGAAGCAUAAACUUCAGGACCUGGAGUUUACUUCAGUGUGAAUAAUUCUGCUCAUGAAAUGACUCUUAGUUUUUAUAGCUCUCUGGCUUUGAGCCCUUUUGAGUUUCUAAUCUGCUCCACAAUUUGGGGUGCUAUUGUUAACUCUGUUUAUAAUCUUCAGUAAACUGCAAGUGAAGAGAGAGAAGCAAUGAGGCCAGAAAUGCUGGAUAGAAGGUAGAGAAAAGACCAGAUGGAGCCAAGAAAUGGAUUUAAAGAAAAGUAUGUCACGGACAACAAAAAUGUGUGAUGGGAGUGAUACUGCUUUCUGUCAUACUGUAUCUCUUGGCUUCUGUGGGCUGUUUCUAAAGCUUUUCUGGAUAGUGCUGUCAGCGUGGACAAAGCAAGGGAAGAAAGGAACAAAGGCCUUUUAUUUGAAUUAAAUCACCAGUGGAUCUGUUACAACAGAUACUGAUCAGCUGAGGAGAUUGCAAACACGGUUGCAUGACCUUAACUCUGACCAGACUUUCAUUCUGGUCUAAGUGUAUUUAUGUAGUGAUGCUGUCAGUUUUAAUUCAGUCAGUUGGAUGAGGAACCUGUAUUGUCACUUUCCAGAAAAUCUCCUACUAGCCAAAAUCCUGUAUGGAAUAUGCCUUAAUGUAGCCUAAUGGCAGUAAAAUUCAGCUUUGGAAGGUUAUUACUUUUGAAUUGAUAGGCAAUUUCUUCUUCUGGACCUGAAAAGUCAGUGGAUGAAUAAUGAAAGUGAGGUAAAACUGCUCUUGGUUUUAAUCAAACCAAACUUCGCUAAUAGGAAUGGAAGAUGUUGAAAGCAAGCAAAUUUAGCUUUAACUAGUAGUUCCUUUUGUUACAGAAAAAAAGAUUAAAAUUCAAGACACAAAAGGCAUUUAAGUAGGUCACUGCUUUGAAAACCUUUUUAAUGUGAAUUACAGAGUCUACAGAUAGCAAGUGUUUUAAGCCUAUUUUUUGUGAGCAUCUCUCACUAGAUAUAUGGUGGGAGCUUUAGGAUGAAAAGCAAAAAUCAAAACUAUUUAAACUACUGCUUACCUAAAUUCAACACAAAACUUGUUUUGUUGUGGUGUUCCAGUUAUAAGCAGUUCUUUUCUUUGUACUUUGAUAAAAACAUAUAUAGCUGCUGCUGCUGCCUAAAAGUUUACAAAACACGUAUUUCUGUCAAUAUCUUAAAGAGUUGCACUUAAUAUAAUGUAUUAGAACUUCCCCAGUUUUUCUGGUGUUGUAUAAUAUGUAAAUAAUACGUAUGUUGUGAAAAGGAAAUAUAUUUACCCUUCAAACAUUAGAGGUUUAUUAUGCAGGCCAUUGUAAAGCCUGCAUAACCAGUUAAGCAGCUCAUAGGCAAAUGCAACUGUGUUAGUUACACCAGUCUAGUUUAGUCUGAAAGCUCAGGAGCUUAAUUUGACUUUGUGCUGUGUACCCAAUACCUAAAACAAAGGCAGCCUGCAUGAGACACUAUCUGGGACAGCUGCAGAGCAAAGGCUGAAACUGCAGUGGUCUUAUGUCAAGAAAUAGAUACAACAAAUCUCUUCUGGUACUAACACAGAUAAUAUUAGGAACAAUAGCAAUUCCUGAUCACAAUAAUUCUUACCUGAACUUUUUCAGUCUUAAUUUGACAGUAACAUUUUUUGCAUUGAAUUUAUAAGCUUUAUACUUUUUUUUAAAAAACUUUUGCUUUUCUGUUCACCUGGCUUUCACUCACUUUCUUGUUUACAUUCAAAAUAAUACUCAUGCAACAUUUUACCCUCAAGAUAUUUUAAAAUUUUCUUUGUUUCGUUAUACUGCUAAUCCUUUUUACAGCUUUGAGAAAAAAGCAGUUUAUCUUUAUGUAUUAAAUAGUUUCACAGUCAGCAUUGAGGAGCUCUAAAAUGCAGCUAGCCCUUAUUUACAGUAAGAAUAUGGUUUAAAUGGGUAAAAAAAGUUUGUUCUUCUCUCCCCACUCCUAAACUCUUCCACUGUUGGUGAACGUUGGUACUUUGCCUGAAACAUAUACACAAUUUACUCUUAAGAAAUGGAAUUUAACUGCCAAUAAAAUUGUUCUGUCUUUUGUGAA